rnacentral:rRNA from 1 species
AUGGAUACACACCCAUCUAUUGUAUGCUGGAACGUGCGAGGGUUGAACAAUCCGGCGAAAAGGAAGGCAGUUAAGGAGUUCCUAGAUACCACUAAAGCUAGCUUAGUUUGUCUUCAAGAAACCAAGAUGGAUGUAAUAGAUUCCUUUGUAGUAAUGCAAUGCAUGGGGCCGUCAUUUGACGGAUUUGCGUACUUGCCGGCGAUGGAGACUCGUGGUGGCAUUCUUUUAGCAUGGAACUCUUCGGUGAUUGACGUCCAAAACCUACAAAUGGACAUGAACUCACUCACUGGUAUGGUUUGCCUAAGGGUGGGAGUGGCGUGGUGGGUUACUGUUGUGUAUGGACCACAAGGAGAUGCUAGAAAAACUAGCUUUCUCGCGGAGUUGGCGCAGCGAAGGACGCUUUGCCCAGGGCCGUGGAUGGUGCUUGGCGAUUUUAACAUGAUCUUGAGAGCUUCGGAGAAGAAUAAGGCGAACAUCAACAGGAACAUGAUGAACAGGUUCCGACAAUUUGUGGACGAUCAGGAGCUUAAGGAGUUGUACAUGCACGGAUGCCUAUUCACGUGGACGAAUGAAAGGGCCAGCCCGACAUUAACUAAGAUCGACAGAGUUCUCGUAACAGUCGACUGGGAGUUGGAAUACCCGGACUGCUUACUUCAAGCGUUGUCCACUGGCAUCUCUGAUCAUGCACCUCUCUUUCUAACAACAUGUGCGCCUUUUGCCCAGAAAAAGAGGUUCAGGUUCGAGCUCUAUUGGACGAAACUAGAGGGUUUUGAAGAGGCUGUCCAGAGUGCUUGGAGAUGCGACGAGGCAAUCACUGAUCCCUUUAAGAGACUGGAUGCACUUUACAGGAAUGCGGGUGCGGCCCUGCAAGCGUGGGGGCAGAGGAAAACAGGGAACAUCAAGUUGUCAAUGGCGGUGGCCACAUGGGUGAUUUUCCGGUUAGAUAAGGUCAUGGACCAUCGCCAGCUUUCGCCUUUGGAAACCUGGCUGCAGCGAACGCUGAAACUUUGCCUGCUUGGGUUGGCCUCGCUAGAGAGAACCAUCGACAGACAAAGAUCUCGCUUCCGAUGGCUCAAAGAAGGUGACGCAAACUCUAAAUUCUUUCAAGCUGUGGCGAAUGGGCGGAGAGCUAAAAACUUCAUUCCACACAUCAAAUGGGAGGAUGAAAUCAUAACAAAGCAAAGUAGAAUGGAAGAGGUUUUCUCUGAUGCUUUUCAUGCUCUCAUUGGCACGGCCCAGGCCAGACCCUAUACGCUAGACAUGGACUUCUUGGGCAUGGAGGCGCAGGAUUUACAAAACUUGGAGGUCAUUUUCACCGAGGAUGAAGUGUGGGCUGUGAUCAAGGAGCUUCACCCUGACCGCGCCCCCGGACCGGAUUGUUUCAUUGAAAAUUUUUACCAGUGUGCUUGGCCUGUCAUUAAGCACGACAUCAUGGCUGCGAUCAUGAAGCUCUAUGUGGGAGAUGGGAGAGGCUUUGCCAAACUAAACAGAGCGCUAACGGUGUUGAUUCCCAAGAGGCCAAAUGCAGAGCAGGUGAAUGACUUCCGCCCGAUCAGUCUUCCUCACAGCCUGUCGAAGAUCUUCGCGAAGCUUUUGGUUGUUCGAGUCAGGCCAUUCAUGAAGGACUUGGUCACUUUCAACCAGUCGGCUUUCAUCAAAGGAUGA